AACGAACGCUGGCGGCAGGCUUAACACAUGCAAGUCGAGCGCCCCGCAAGGGGAGCGGCAGACGGGUGAGUAACGCGUGGGAAUCUACCCAUCUCUACGGAAUAACGCAUGGAAACGUGUGCUAAUACCGUAUACGUCCUUCGGGAGAAAGAUAUAUCGGGGAUGGAUGAGCCCGCGUUGGGUUCGCUAGUUGGUGGGGUAAAGGCCUACCAAGGCGACGAUCCAUAGCUGGUCUGAGAGGAUGAUCAGCCACACUGGGACUGAGACACGGACCAGACUCCUACGGGAGGCAGCAGUGGGGAAUAUUGGACAAUGGGCGCAAGCCUGAUCCAGCCAUGCCGCGUGAGUGAUGAAGGCCCUAGGGUUGUAAAGCUCUUUCACCGGUGAAGAUAAUGACAGUAACCGGAGAAGAAGCCCCGGCUAACUUCGUGCCAGCCGCCGCCGUAAAAC
rnacentral:rRNA from 1 species